GAACUGUAGGACUGUAGGGUGAAGGUCAUCCCAGAGCUCAGCAUUGAAACCAGCCGGAAAUUGUUCAGUUGGGGGAACUAGGGGAAAGGGAACAGUGGUGUGGAGGGCAGAGGCAGUGGUGGGAAGCCUGUGUGUGGCCGACGCAUGCUUUUACGCUGUCAUCACGGCCUUGCUUUCUAUAGCAGGGAUCUGAGAAGCAGGCAGGCAGCUGCUCUGCCCGAGACUGUCAGGAGUUGGUGGAUGUGAAUCCAUGUCUGAAGCCCAAGCUCUCACUACUCUGCUGUCUCCCUGAGGGGUGCAUGAAGGCCCCAGCCCAGCCAGUGACACAGAGGUUGGGAAGACCAGGGCGUGAAGCUUCUGUGCUUGGAGAACAGGAGGGCUUGUGGAGCUGUGGUUGAUGGCGUGUCCAGGAAGCCUGGCCAGGGCUAGGGUGCAGUGGCAUGACCACAGCUCACUGCAGCUUUGACCUCCCAGGCUCCAGCGAUCAACCCACCCCAGCCUCCCGAGUAGCUGGGACUACAGGUCUCUGGAGCAAGAGAAGCCACAUCUGGAUGUGAUGUAGGAUGGGGUAUUCUGGACUUCAAGCUUGAAUCAUGAGUGGUUAAGGCUUUCAGGGUCUUAGGAUGGAGUGAGUAUAUUUUGGGAGCAGGCGUGUCUUCGUCCAUUUUGUGCUGCUGUAACUGAAUACCAAGAUUGCAUAAUUUACAAAGAACAGAAAUUAAUUCUCUCACUGUUCUGAAGGCAAGAUCAAGGCACCAGCAUUUGAUGGGGGCUUUUUUGCUGUGUCCUCAUGUGGAAGAAGAACAGAAGAGAGAGAACCGAUUUUCACAAGCCCCUUUUAUCACAGCUCACCCCUCAACACUGUUGCAUUGGGGAUUAAGUUUCCAACACAUGAAUUUUGUAGGGGACACAUUCAAACCACAGCAGGAAGCCUCUUGAGUAAUUGGGUCCAAGAGGACAGUCUGUAGUAUAUUGUCUUAUUGUUUCCAAUUCCUCACCCAUCCUAUAUUAGAGCUGCCAUAACGGAUGAUCACAAACUCAAAUGACUUAAAACAAUAGAAAUCUACUCUCACAGUUCUGGAGGCCAGAAGUCUGAAAUCAAGGUGACUCUCACAGUUCUGGAGGCCAGAAGUCUGUAAUCAAGGUGCUGGCUCAUUCUGGAGGCUUGGAGGGAGAGUCUGUUCCAUGUGUCUCUUCUGGCUUCUGGUGACUGCUGGCUGUACUAAUCAGCCUGGGCUGCCACUGAAAUGUCAUGGAGGGGCUUACACAACAGAAAUGUAUUCUCACAGUUCUGGAGGUGGGAAGUUCAAAAUCAACAUAC
rnacentral:lncRNA from 1 species